rnacentral:tRNA from 1 species
GCGGGGUGGAGCAGCUUGGUAGCUCGUCGGGCUCAUAACCCGAAGGUCGUUGGUUCAAAUCCGGGCCCCCGCA